GAUUCUGGCUCAGAACGAACGCUGGCGGCGCGUCUUAAGCAUGCAAGUCGAGCGGUAAGGAAGAAGCUUGCUUCUCCCUAGAGCGGCGGACUGGUGAGUAACGCGUGGGUGACGUACCUCUGUGACGGGGACAGCUCCUAGAAAUAGGAGAUAAUACCGGAUACGCUGUGUGUUGUCAGAGGACACACAGGAAAGGAUCUUUUGAUUCGCACAGAGAGCGGCCCGCGUACUAUUAGCUAGUUGGUGAGGUAACGGCCCACCAAGGCGACGAUAGUUACCCGGCCUAAGAGGGUGAUCGGGCACAUUGGGACUGAGAUACGGCCCAGACUCCUACGGGAGGCAGCAGCUAAGAAUAUUCCGCAAUGGACGAAAGUCUGACGGAGCGACGCCGCGUGGAUGAAUGAAGGCCGGAAGGUUGUAAAAUCCUUUUAGGUGUGAGGAAUAAGGAGGAUGAGAGAAACGUCCUCUGGUGACGGUAGCACCUGAAUAAGCAACGGCUAAUUACGUGCCAGCCGCGGC
rnacentral:rRNA from 1 species